rnacentral:lncRNA from 1 species
UGGCAACCUUGACCUUGGUUGGGUAUACGGUUCCCCGCCCCUGCCAUCCACUCAGCCCUGACCCCGAUCACAGAAAUCAGAAAGAAAAAGCUACUGAAAGGCUCCUGUGCCCUUCACCUUGCAUUAUUCCUGUGUUGCCCACCUGACUGUCCCUCGGGGUGGGUAAGGGCUGGCACAGAUGGAAGACCAUGCACACAGCCACCGCUGCCCUUCACUGCUCCUUCCAAGAGAGGAGCUGAGACGAAGAUGGAGGGAGAAUGUGUCCUAGUUCACCUUGUUCCUGAGGCAGGAGUGUUUUGCCGCUUAUGAAGUUUGAUAGUUAGCCAAUGUUUAAGAGUUGAAGAAGAGAAAUAAAUUGCCU